rnacentral:rRNA from 1 species
AUUGAACGCUGGCGGCAUGCCUAACACAUGCAAGUCGAACGGCAGCACAGCAGUAGCAAUACUGUGGGUGGCGAGUGGCGGACGGGUGAGGAAUACGUCGGAAUCUGCCCAGUCGUGGGGGGAUAACUAGCCGAAAGGUUAGCUAAUACCGCAUACGACCGAGAGGUGAAAGCGGGGGGACCGCAAGGCCUCGCGCGAUUGGAUGAGCCGACGUCGGAUUAGCUAGUUGGCGGGGUAAAGGCCCACCAAGGCGACGAUCCGUAGCUGGUCUGAGAGGAUGAUCAGCCACACCGGAACUGAGACACGGUCCGGACUCCUACGGGAGGCAGCAGUGGGGAAUAUUGCGCAAUGGGCGAAAGCCUGACGCAGCCAUACCGCGUGUGUGAAGAAGGCCUCGG